rnacentral:rRNA from 1 species
GCUCAGAAACUUAAGGCAUUGACGGGGCCCGCACAAGCGGUGGAGUAUGUGGUUUAAUUCGAUGCAACGCGAAGAACCUUACCUGGUCUUGGCAUCCCGGAGACCCUUAGGAAACUAGGGGAUGCUUCCAUCUGGAAGAAUCUGGAGACAGGUGCUGCAUGGCUGUCGUCAGCUCGUGUCGUGAGAUGUUGGGUUAAGUCCCGCAACGAGCGCAACCCUUGCCUUUAGUUGCCAGCAGUUCGGCUGGGCACUCUAAAGGGACUGCCGGUGUUAAACCGGAGGAAGGUGGGGAUGACGUCAAGUCCUCAUGGCCUUUAUGACCAGGGCUACACACGUACUACAAUGGCCGAUACAAAGGGCAGCGACACUGCGAGGUGAAGCCAAUCCCGUAAAAUCGGUCUCAGUCCGGAUUGGAGUCUGCAACUCGACUCCAUGAAGUUGGAAUCGCUAGUAAUCGUGGAUCAGCAUGCCACGGUGAAUACGUUCCCGGGCCUU